GAACUCGUCCGUGUGAUCCGAAAAAAUGCCAAUUCUCAUAUUUUAUUUCGAUAUGCCUGGGCUGGUUAUGUAUUACCCAAACAGGAUGUGACAUCACGGGGGUCCAAACUAAAAAUAUGUCGCAGGACAGUCUGCCUAGGAUGUCCAGAACCCUGGAGGAUGCUGCCUCGCAGUGGGGGUCCAGACAUGUGAUGUUCGCUGGAGGAUGCAGGAGAUAACCACGCAGAAUGUCUCUUUUCUCUACCUCCUGGUUUGAGUAUGACCCCUCCCCUGGCUUGUGACCCUUCACCUGGAUAUCACUCCUGGCAUUUGGCUCUGGGACAGACUACUCAUGUUGAACCAUAGGCGCUGCACCAGAGCUGUGAUGAUGCUCCCUGAGGCCUCCUCUCUCACCCCGUGUUCUGACUCCCUGGGAUGUGUGGAGCUGUGAGGCCCACUGUCACCACCCGUCACCACCCAUGGCCCUGGAAGAGAAGAGGUGAUGGAGCAGUUUGUCUGUUGACCUUUCCCCUCUCAGUCAGAUCAGUUCUCAUCUCUGUUCCAUCCCCUUUGGCAACACCUGUCUCUCUGUGGCCUUCAUGUAUUUGCUCAUGGUCAUGCCUCAGUGUAUACAUGGUGUGUUACCUAUGUUUUCCUGGACACUUAAAGUUCAAGUGGAAUUUUUGCUGGCUAUCCAAUAGCAUUCUGUUAUUUGGCUUUAUAGAAUUAUAAAGGUG
ensembl:lncRNA